AUUGAACGCUGGCGGCAUGCUUUACACAUGCAAGUCGAACGGUAACAGGCCGCAAGGUGCUGACGAGUGGCGAACGGGUGAGUAAUGCAUCGGAACGUGCCCAGUCGUGGGGGAUAACGCAGCGAAAGCUGUGCUAAUACCGCAUACGAUCGAUGGAUGAAAGCGGGGGACCGGAAGGCCUCGCGCUCUUGGAGCGGCCGAUGUCAGAUUAGGUAGUUGGUGGGGUAAAGGCUCACCAAGCCAACGAUCUGUAGCUGGUCUGAGAGGACGACCAGCCACACUGGGACUGAGACACGGCCCAGACUCCUACGGGAGGCAGCAGUGGGGAAUUUUGGACAAUGGGCGCAAGCCUGAUCCAGCAAUGCCGCGUGCAGGAAGAAGGCCUUCGGGUUGUAAACUGCUUUUGUACGGAACGAAAAGGUUUGGGUUAAUACCCUGGGCCGAUGACGGUACCGUAAGAAUAAGCACCGGCUAACUACGUGCCAGCCGCCGCUGUAACAC
rnacentral:rRNA from 1 species